GAUGAACGCUGGCGGUAUGCUUAACACAUGCAAGUCGAACGGUCCCUUCGGGGGUAGUGGCGGACGGGUGAGUAACGCGUGAGAACAUGCCUUUAGAUUGGGGACAACAGUUGGAAACGACUGCUAAUACCGAAUGUGCCUUAGGGUGAAAGAUUUAUUGUCUAAAGAUUGGCUCGCGUCAGAUUAGCUAGUUGGAGUGGUAACGGCACACCAAGGCGACGAUCUGUACUUGGUCUGAGAGGAUGACCAGGCACACUGGAACUGAGACACGGUCCAGACUCCUACGGGAGGCAGCAGUGGGGAAUUUUCCGCAAUGGGCGAAAGCCUGACGGAGCAAUACCGUGUGAGGGAGGACGGCUUUUGGGUUGUAAAACCCUCUUUUCUCAAGGAAGAUGAUGACGGUACUUGAGGAAUAAGCAUCGGCUAACUCUGUGCCAGCAGCCGCGGUAAU
rnacentral:rRNA from 1 species